AGAGUUUGAUCCUGGCUCAGGAUGAACGCUGGCGGUCUGCUUAACACAUGCAAGUCGAACGGACGUUUUCGGACGUUAGUGGCGGACGGGUGAGUAACGCGUGAGAAUCUGCCUUCAGGUUGGGGACAACAGUUGGAAACGACUGCUAAUACCCAAUGUGCCGAGAGGUGAAAGCUUUAGUGCCUGAGGAUGAGCUCGCGUCUGAUUAGCUAGUUGGAGUGGUAAUGGCACACCAAGGCGACGAUCAGUAGCUGGUCUGAGAGGAUGAUCAGCCACACUGGGACUGAGACACGGCCCAGACUCCUACGGGAGGCAGCAGUGGGGAAUUUUCCGCAAUGGGCGCAAGCCUGACGGAGCAAGACCGCGUGAGGGAGGAAGGCUCUUGGGUUGUAAACCUCUUUUAUCAGGGAAGAAGAUCUGACGGUACCUGAUGAAUCAGCAUCGGCUAACUCCGUGCCAGCAGCCGCGGUAAUACGGAGGAUGCAAGCGUUAUCCGGAUUUAUUGGGCGUAAAGCGUCCGCAGGUGGUUUUUCAAGUCUGCUGUUAAAGCGCGAGGCUUAACCUCGUAACGGCGGUGGAAACUGAGAGACUAGAGUAUGGUAGGGGUAGCGGGAAUUCCCAGUGUAGCGGUGAAAUGCGUAGAUAUUGGGAAGAACACCAGCGGCGAAAGCGCGCUACUGGGCCAUAACUGACACUCAUGGACGAAAGCUAGGGGAGCGAAAGGGAUUAGAUACCCCUGUAGUCCUAGCCGUAAACGAUGGAUACUAAGUGCUGUGCGACUCAAAACGUCCAGUGCUGUAGCUAACGCGUGA
rnacentral:rRNA from 1 species